rnacentral:rRNA from 1 species
UACGUAGGGGGCAAGCGUUGUCCGGAAUUAUUGGGCGUAAAGCGCGUGUAGGCGGCUUGAUAAGUCUGCUGUGAAAGUCCAGGGCUCAACCCUGGAAUGCCGGUGGAUACUGUCGGGCUAGAGUUCGGAAGAGGUGAGUGGAAUUCCUGGUGUAGCGGUGAAAUGCGCAGAUAUCAGGAGGAACACCAAUGGCGAAGGCAGCUCGCUGGGACGAUACUGACGCUGAGACGCGAAAGCGUGGGGAGCAAACAGG